rnacentral:rRNA from 1 species
CCUACGGGUGGCAGCAGUGAGGAAUAUUGGUCAAUGGACGCAAGCCUGAACCAGCCAAGCCGCGUGAAGGAUGACGGCCCUAUGGGUUGUAAACUUCUUUUAUAUGGGGAUAAAUUGCAGUAUGUAUACCGGUUUGCAAGUACCUUAUGAAUAAGGAUCGGCUAACUCCGUGCCAGCAGCCGCGGUAAUACGGAGGAUCCGAGCGUUAUCCGGAUUUAUUGGGUUUAAAGGGUGCGUAGGCGGGUGGUUAAGUCAGUGGUGAAAGUUCGGGGCUCAACCGUAGAAUUGCAGUUGAUACUGGCGGGCUUGAGUGUAGUAGAGGUAGGCGGAAUGCGUGGUGUAGCGGUGAAAUGCUUAGAGAUCACGAAGAACUCCGAUUGCGAAGGCAGCCUACUGGACUGUAACUGACGCUGAUGCUCGAAAGUGUGGGUAGCAAACAGGAUUAGAUACCCUAGUAGUC